rnacentral:other from 1 species
AGCUCCCUGGAGUGUGCGCCAGUCGGUGGUGUCCCUGAGCCGAUACGCACAACCCCGGGGGUUGUCAGUUGAGGCCGGUGUGCAUGUCCGCUUGACGGAAAGCCUUAAGGUUUCCUGCAACCUCCACCUUGAACUUUCGGGUUCAAGGGCUAAACCGACAGCGGCAUGCUGGGGAGUCA